CCAGCACCCGCGGUAAUUCCAGCCCCAAUGGCGUAUAUUAAAGUUGUUGCAGUUAAAACGCUCGUAGUCUGGUGUGGAGUGUUUGGGGGUGUGGGUCGAUAGAUUUGCAUACUCGUACACUCGUUCUGACAGCAAUGUCGGGGUUACUUUGAGGAAAUUAGGGUGUUCAAGGCAGGCGUGUGCUUGGAUAUCGCAGCAUGGAAUAACGGAGUAGGAUUCGCUUCUUAUUUUGUUGGUUUGGGGGAGUGAGUAAUGAUUAAUAGGGGCAGUUGGGGGCAUUGGUAUUUGGUAGUCAGAGGUGAAAUUCUUGGAUUUACCAAAGACUAACUGGUGCGAAAGCGUCUGCCAAGGAUGUUUUCAUUGAUCAAGAACGAAAGU
rnacentral:rRNA from 1 species